UUGACAAGGAUGAAGGACUGGGCAAGUUUGAUGCGGCCAAGUUAAAGAAGCUCAGACCGAGUUUCAAGGAGGAUGGGGGAUCAGUCACUGCUGGAAAUGCAUCAAGUAUAAGUGAUGGUGCGGCAGCGUUGGUGCUGGUGAGUGGAGAG